GCGGGAGUAAUUCAGUGGUAGAAUGCAGCCCUUCCAAGGCUGACGUCGCGAGUUCGAGCCUCGUCUCCCGCU
rnacentral:tRNA from 1 species